AAUCAACGUCAUUGACAUGCGUCCUUAUGUGCAGCUACCGUUGUUCUCAUAGAUAUGAAUGAGUAGAUAGGACACGCCCCUUUGAGCUGCGUGCUACAGCGAGGCUAAGCUAGUGGGGGCAAAGUUUCAGUGCAUUCUGUUGAUGUAGACGGCGUGAAAACGGAAACAAGAAGUAUGCCGGCUCACUGUGCUGCAUACAAUUACACACUACGUCGUACGAUUGAGACAAGGAAACUUGGAAUGACUUUUCAUAGGUUUCCCAGAGACUAUGGGUUGAGGAGGAAUUGGAAGUUUGUCGGCUUAGACCUGGUGUCAUUCCAUCAGUGUUAAACUUCCCAGGCUCAUCUUGGAAGAGUACGUGCCAGAAAGACCACGACCAAGCAGCCUUGAGAUCUUAGGCAGCGUCUCCCUGAGGUCCCUCUCUGUCUCCCCACACAUCCACCAACCACUGGAACACAUCUCCAAAGUUCUGCCGGGCCAGCUCAGCUUCCCCUCAGAAGAAGUGCUGCCACCUGCCAGAUGAAGGAGCCUUUUGAGAGGCAGCUGGCAUCAUGAUUGGACUGUACUUUGGUCUGUUCCAAUCCAGCUUCAGCUCCAGAGACGGCAGGCGGGACGAGUCAACGGAGGCCGGGUGGAUGAAGACAUGCAGCUGAGUACAAUCCAGAAAACAACAGAGGAGGAGUGAAGCAGCCCAGUAUAGCCUUCAGUAUGAAAAAACACCAUCAUAUACAUCGUAUAUUGUACAAAUAACAAGUCAAAGGAAAGAGACAUACAUUGUAGAAUUGUAGUAAUUGUGGGCUGACUGAUUUACUGAUUAUCAGUAUUUUAUUUUUUACUGAUUUAUGGUAAUAAAUACAUUUAAAAAUG